ACGCUGGUUAGCUCAGUGGUUACUUCCGAAAAUCUUACUGUUGAUUUCUCUCCCGUCAUGGGAUCGAACCACGGGCACCGUCCAGCGUUUUC
rnacentral:vault_RNA from 8 species